ensembl:lncRNA
UUUUCUCUGCAUAGAGUUUGCACUUCUUUUCAGCUAUCAGUGGUCAUCAGAAGGGAAGGACAGUCGGAGAGCAAACAAAGGAGGGUGUGAGUGCUGCCAGGGAGGAUUUGUACAAGGACUGACACAUGUGCAGGACUCCCCUUCUGCCCCAUACUUUAGGGGCUGCAGUGUCUCACAGCUGACUUGAGAGAGCCAGGCUGUAUAGGGUGAAGUGGUGAAUAGGAGAGGCAGUGACUAUGUUGAAUAAGAGAAACAUUUGCAUCAUGUAUAUGGAAACCGAGUUGUUUCAGUAUCAUCCUAGAGCAUGUUUUUAGAGGAUGGAUGCUGAUGGGAUGAGGCAGAGGCCAGGGAAUUUAAUAGUGGCUACUGGAUGUGCUGAGUGCUCACAGCCUUGAGAUGGAGGAUCUCACGCUUGUCAGAACAGCAGCCUUCCUGCAAGGAGUUGGUACCUGCCCUGCCUCUGUCCAGCAGGAAACACAGGAGGGUUUGAUGGAGUUAGUAACACCUUGAUCUGUUUUUACAGUCAUGGCUCAGUGUUCAGUUAUGUUCCAUGUUCAGCACUGGUUUUGCAUUUCUUAUGGAGAGACAGCCUGCAUCAUCAGUGCCACUGGUCUGUGGCAUAAACUGGAGCCUGAAAUGGAGUCAGAUCCUAAGCUUGGUGGGAACCUGAUGGCUGAAUAGUAAACAAGAAUGAACAACUGCAAGUUAAUGCAUGACUACAGGAAAGCACCUGAAUUUACAGUUACAACCUUCAAACCAUCUGCAUGUGGGUUUUAAUCUUCAUUUUCAGUAUGUGAAUAGUACUCCUUAUAGCUAUGGUUUCUAACACCUCUUAGAAGACCUCAUUGUCCAUUGUACCUGGUAUCCAGGCUUAUGCUGCUCAUAUGGAAUGCUGUGUAUCUGCCUUUGAUCAAUGGCUGAAAAUGUCAGCACUGAGUUAAGCCAUCAUGUUCAUAAAAGACAGGUUUAUUUUCACGAAGUAGAAAGCAAGCAAAAACAAUAAAGCAAUCCUAAAGCUUCCAGUUGCUGUAGAUGAACAACUUAGAACUAGCAGAAGGGUUGUCCUUGAAUUAGAUGUUUUUUUAUUCCAAAUUUCCCAAUAAAUAAGCCUUGUAUUUCCUGAGUGGAAAUUAUCAAGGGCAGAGCAGCUAAAUUCUCAUAUAUGUCCCACCUGCAGUGAAGAUGCUUUGCCUUCUCAGGGCAUAUGUGCUUGCUGCACUGCAUCUACAUACCUUUAAAGAUGAUUUGAAUGGACUUACCUUCCACUGCCUGUAACUGUGGCUUCAGGCCAUGUGACUGGGACCUGGCUUCUCUCAAUGUCACCAGUCUCUGUGCUGUCACCUCCUGCCCGUAAAGGGAGGGAGGGAUGACCAGUUUUGCAAAUCCCCUCGGUUAGAUUACAGUGAAACUGAUAUCCAGAGUCUAAAGACAAUCAUCAAUUUCAGUGAGAAUCUCUGUACUACAAUUAUCUUAAAAGCAUUGACAGUCUUACAAUUGUAUCUAUCUAAGCUGUGCAGAUGAUCUAUGCAACUUUAUAAGAAGUGGAAAUAAGCCUUAUGUUACUCAGCAGCUCUGUGAGGGGGAAAAAGAGGGGUGGUGAGGGGAAGAGGGAUGGAUAGAGGAAUAAAACACCAGUCUGUGUUCCGGUGUUGGCCCAGCCACAGGGGGUCCCCUCUGUCUGUGAGAGUGUUCAUCUGGAAGUCCUAAAGUUCUGAAGUCUCCCUGAGCUGCUCUCAGACAUCUUUUCAUGCCUGCUGGAUCUGUGGCAUUGACAAUCAGCAAGUUCACUGUCAACAGCUCUGCAGUCAAAACUCCGCUAUCAACAACCCUGUUCGAACCGGGAGUUUUGGCCAAAGCAAGGCUGCCCUGCCUCCUGAGGGUUCCCUCCUCCAACCAUAUCUUCAGCCGUUAGCCUGUUGUCAUGGCAAUGGUUUUAUCUUGCAACUGUUUGAGACAAUGCCAGGCAUACCACAGAUAAAGGGUUUUUCGUUGGUCUGCUUCUCUCAGUUACACAAGUUGCCAGUCACUGUGCGGACAGCGUGGGACAGAAAGGAUGAGGAUGUGAGAAUGACUGGGGAAGAAUUUGUGUGUGAGGAGGGAAGUUUGAACCACAUUUGUUUGUGAUGUUGUGAUCAAGUUUGCCAAAAAGCACUGAAAUGUUCACCUUUUCUCUCUAAUGGCUUUUGUGAUAAUAAUGUUAUUU